GUGGGGAAUAUUGGACAAUGGGCGCAAGCCUGAUCCAGCCAUGCCGCGUGAGUGAUGAAGGUCUUAGGAUUGUAAAGCUCUUUCACCGGUGAAGAUAAUGACGGUAACCGGAGAAGAAGCCCCGGCUAACUUCGUGCCAGCAGCCGCGGUAAUACGAAGGGGGCUAGCGUUGUUCGGAAUUACUGGGCGUAAAGCGCACGUAGGUGGAUAUUUAAGUCAGGGGUGAAAUCCCAGAGCUCAACUCUGGAACUGCCUUUGAUACUGGGUAUCUUGAGUAUGGAAGAGGUGAGUGGAAUUCCGAGUGUAGAGGUGAAAUUCGUAGAUAUUCUGAGGAACACCAGUGGCGAAGGCGGCUCACUGGUCCAUUACUGACGCUGAGGUGCGAAAGCGUGGGGAGCAAACAGGAUUAGAAACCCCUGUAGUCC
rnacentral:rRNA from 1 species